UGUGUCAAAACGUUGUGGCACCAUCGUGGCAAACUCUUGCCUCUUCCGUCACCCCAUUUCAGCUUAAUCCCGAGUCAGAAGCUCCAAUCCGUUUAGCAAAUUGAAUAAUCUCAGCGUCGUUGAAGCGUACGUCUGCUGCCCACUACGACAAAGGAUUUCUGCCCGUGUGACAUAGGCGAGGUGAGGCGUUGCCUUCCUACAAGUUUCAUCCGCAGUUCAUCGGUUUGGCCGCGGGCCGGCCAAAAAAUCGAGCGCUCCUGCUCUGCUGCUGAGGAGCGAAGAGCCGAAGACCACACACGCCUUCCCACGCUCCGCACCUACCGCGAGGGCCGCCCCCAAUCCCCAUCCGCCGGCACGAUGUGCACCCUGGAGCAGCGCGGCCGCGUAUUCGUCCUCACCCUCACCGGCGACGGCGAGCACCGGCUGGGCCACGCCCUCAUCUCCUCGCUCCGCUCCGCCGUCGCCUCCGCCGCGGAGGGCGCGGCCAAGGCGGGGCCCGGGUGCGCGCUCGUGACCGUCGGCGAGGGCCGCUUCUUCUCCAACGGCCUCGACAUCGGGUGGGCGGGCACUUCCCGCGCGCGCCUCGGCGAGCUCGUCGCCGCGCUCCGCCUGCUCGCCGCCGACCUCCUCGCGCUGCCCAUGCCCACCGUCGCCGCCGUCACGGGCCACGCCUCCGCGGGCGGGUGCCUCCUCGCGCUCUGCCACGACUACCGCAUCAUGCGCGGCGACCGCGGGGUGCUCUACAUGAGCGAGGUCGACAUCGGCCUCCCGCUCCCGCCCUACUUCGUGGCCGUGCUCCGCGCCAAGAUCACCUCCGCCAACGCGCUCCGUGACGUCGCGCUGAGGGGCAAGAAGGUCAGGGCCGCCGAGGGCAAGGAGAUGGGCAUCGUGGAUGCCGUCUACCCUUCUGCGGACGAGACGGCGGCCGAGGCCUUCAAGUUUGCCGAGCAGCUCGCGGCCAGGAAGUGGGAUGGGGGCGUCUACGCGUCCAUAAGGAUGUCCAUGUACCCUGAGGCCUGCAGGUCUGUUGGAAUUGUCGAGGAGAGCGAUGAGGAGAAGCGGAAGCACUUCGCUUCCAAGCUCUGAUGUCGUGAUUCGAGAGAGGUCAGUCUUCUCUUCGCGCAGAUGCUGUCUCCUUGGAGUGCCUCUCUUGCUGGGUUUCUGUGGAAGCAUGGAGGAACCUUCACAUUCUGUAUUUCUACGUCGUCCAACCAUUGACGCUGUCGCUAUGUAUGAAGUACGCACCGUGUACUUGUACAAACCUUGUAACUUGCCUGGUAGUGGGAAAUAAAUUGAAGCUCCUCUCCCCACCUUGCUUGAAGAAUUUCAAUGUGCCUGCUAGACUCUAUAAUUAUUCCAAUAAUAUUAUUGAUGUGUGUUCAUA